rnacentral:rRNA from 1 species
CCUACGGGUGGCAGCAGUGAGGAAUAUUGGUCAAUGGGCGGAAUCCUGAACCAGCCAUGUCGCGUGCAGGACGACGGCUCUACGAGUUGUAAACUGCUUUUGUACCGGGGUAAAAUGCUCGACGAGUAGGGUUUUGAAAGUACGGUACGAAUAAGGAUCGGCUAACUCCGUGCCAGCAGCCGCGGUAAUACGGAGGAUCCGAGCGUUAUCCGGAUUUAUUGGGUUUAAAGGGUGCGUAGGUGGAUUUAUAAGUUAGUGGGGAAAUACAGAGGCUCAACCUCGAGGUGGCCGUUGAUAAUGUAGGACUAGAGAACGGGUGCAGAAGGAGGAAUGUGUGGUGUAGCGGUGAAAU